GCCCCUAUAGCUCAGCUGGUAGAGCAUCUGAUUUGUAAUCAGAGGGUCGGGGGUUCAAGUCCCUCUGGGGGCACCA
rnacentral:tRNA from 1 species